rnacentral:lncRNA from 1 species
AUGUUAAAUCGUGAUUUGUCUGUCUAUUUACAUUUAAUUCAUACAAGAGCUGAAAUAUUAGUAACAUAUCAUGCUUGUCUCUAUGGUAAUAUACAGUAUAAUAUAAUAUCAUGCUUGUCUCUAUGGUAAUAUACAGUAUAUUAUAAUAUUAGUACUACUAGGAUUACUAGGACUGCAUGGACUAGGACUAUAGACAGUAUAUUAUAGCGUUAUGGAGAUAUAUGGAGUGCAGGACUAGGACUAUAGACAGUAUAUUAUAGCGUUAUGGAGAUAUAUGGAGUGCAGGACUAGGACUAUAGUAUAUUAUAGCGUUAUGGAGAUAUAUGGAGUGCAGGACUAGGACUAUAGACAGUAUAUUAUAGCAUUAUGGAGAUAUAUGGAGUGCAGGACUAGGACUAUAGACAGUAUAUUAUAGCAUUAUGGAGAUAUAUGGAGUGCAGGACUAGGACUAUAGACAGUAUAUUAUAGCGUUAUGGAGAUAUAUGGAGUGCAGGACUAGGACUAUAGACAGUAUAUUAUAGCAUUAUGGAGUGCAGGACUAGGACUAUAGACAGUAUAUUAUAGCGUUAUGGAGAUAUAUGGAGUGCAGGACUAGGACUAUAGACAGUAUAUUAUAGCGUUAUGGAGAUAUAUGGAGUGCAGGAUUAGGACUAUAGACAGUAUAUUAUAGCAUUAUGGAGAUAUAUGGAGUGCAGGAUUAGGACUAUAGACAGUAUAUUAUAGCAUUAUGGAGAUAUAUGGAGUGCAGGACUAGGACUAUAGACAGUAUAUUAUAGCGUUAUGGAGAUAUAUGGAGUGCAGGACUAGGACUAUAGACAGUAUAUUAUAGCGUUAUGGAGAUAUAUGGAGUGCAGGAUUAGGACUAUAGACAGUAUAUUAUAGCAUUAUGGAGAUAUAUGGAGUGCAGGAUUAGGACUAUAGACAGUAUAUUAUAGCGUUAUGGAGAUAUAUGGAGUGCAGGACUAGGACUAUAGACAGUAUAUUAUAGCAUUAUGGAGUGCAGGACUAG